AUGGCGGCAGCGGCGGCAACCUCCGUGCGGGGGUGCGGCCCGGCGUCGGCGUCGUCGGUGGGGCUCUCGCCGCGUCGGGCGGUGCAGCGGUCGUCCUUCCUGCCGCCCCUGCCGCGGCGGGCGUCGUCGGCGCGCGCGCUGCGGGCGGCGGUCGCGGACGCCCCGCACCGGGGGCUGGAGCUCCGGCGGGAGGCGCGGGACGAGGCGGGGCUGCUGGAGGCCGUGAUCGGGGGCGACGGCGGGGACGAGGUGGAGGAGGCGGUCGGGGAGGAGCGGGUGGAGGGGUGGAUGCGGGAGUCGAUCGCGGAAAUCGUGCGGCACGUCGGGGAGGCGCCGUUCCUGGUGCACCUGUUCAGCGACGGGCGGGAGGGCGUCACGGUGCGGCGCGAGCCGGCGUCGGUGGAGGCCUGGCCCGACGUGCGCCGCCGCUGGGGGCCUGGCGGCCAGCGCCGGCCCGACGGCAUCAUCCUGGUCGAGCAGGUGGCCGCCGCGGCGGUGGAGGACGGCGCCGAGGCGGCGCGCCAGGUGUGGGGCCUGGUGGUCCAGGCCCGCGGGAUGGAGUGCGCCGCCUGCUACGUCCUCGACACCUGCCGCGUCCGCUCGCCCGCCGGCUUCUGCACCCACUUCUGCCUCGCCCGCGCGCAGUGCUUCGGCGAGCCCCUCGAGCUCCAGCUCCGCAACGCCUGGCUCAACCGCCUCUCCGGCCACCACCGACGAUAG
rnacentral:rRNA from 1 species